rnacentral:rRNA from 1 species
UUAUUGGAGAGUUUGAUCCUGGCUCAGGAUGAACGCUGGCGGCGUGCCUAAUACAUGCAAGUCGAGCGCGGGAAGCA